GCGGCUGUGCGCCCCGGGGCAUGCCGGGAGCGGCGGUGGCCUGAGCGUAGCCGUGUCUGAGCCCUGAGCCGGGGAGCCCAGCGUUUGGGAGGGGUAACCCGAGCCCUCGAAGCCCUUGAAGCUGCGGGGGUGGCUUAGCUUCAGUGUUUUGGCCGAGAACACCCUUAAAGCUUAAAAUAAAACCUGCCUGUGGGGUGUGGGGAGGACCGAGGCGUAUGCGCAUCAGCACGCCCCCCCCCCCAAUACCUUCCUCGGCUCUGGUUUGGGGAACAGGAUGCCGAGGGCUUGGACCAGAGGGGCCGGAGCCCCCCCCCCUCCGCCCCCCACCCCCCGCAGCCCCGUGGAUGCUCCAGAUCCCCGACCCACACCCCGGCCGGCCCCAGAUGCCCUCCCACACUUACGAAGGAAAUGCAGGCGGCCAGGAGAAGGAUCCGCACCAGGAGCAGGGAGCUCUACCCAGGGAAAAAGAAGAAAAAGACACAUUCAUUUGGGGCUCAGUCUGAUGCCCCCCCCCACCCAGGAUUCUGUGGCUAAGGUGAGGAUACUGAGGCCUGGAGAGGCUAACACCUGGCCUAGGCCAAACAGCAAAGGAGAGGAAAAGCUAGGAGUGAAAGCCAGUGCUCUCUGUCAUCUACCCCCCAGCUUCCCAGCCUGGCCCCGAGAAGGGGAGCAGCCAGCCUGCCCUGGGCCCCUCUGCAGCCAGACUCUGUGGCUGCCACAUUCAACCUCUCCCAACACGGCCACUGUGCCCCAACCCCGCCCCCACGAUCUCCCUCUGCCUGCUUUCUCCCUCGGGUGGGAAGCCUUAACUGAAGAACUUAGAGCAAGAAGGGUCCUUGGAGGUUGCCGAUCCUGCUGUUCACUGUCCGGUCCCGUUAAGAGAACUUGGCCGCAAACCCCCGAGAAGCACUAUUGGGCUCUGCACUUACCGCUCAACAAACAGGACCGCCCACGGAGGAGCAAUGGGCCGAAG